rnacentral:rRNA from 1 species
AUUGAACGCUGGCGGCAUGCCUUACACAUGCAAGUCGAACGGUAACAGGUUAAGCUGACGAGUGGCGAACGGGUGAGUAAUACAUCGGAACGUGCCCAGUAGUGGGGGAUAGCCCGGCGAAAGCCGGAUUAAUACCGCAUACGACCUAAGGGUGAAAGGGGGGGAUCGCAAGACCUCUAGCUAUUGGAGCGGCCGAUGUCAGAUUAGGUAGUUGGUGGGGUAAAGGCCCACCAAGCCGACGAUCUGUAGCUGGUCUGAGAGGACGACCAGCCACACUGGGACUGAGACACGGCCCAGACUCCUACGGGAGGCAGCAGUGGGGAAUUUUGGACAAUGGGCGCAAGCCUGAUCCAGCCAUGCCGCGUGCGGGAAGAAGGCCUUCGGGUUGUAAACCGCUUUUGUCAGGGAAGAAAUCCUUUGGGUUAAUACCUCGGGGGGAUGACGGUACCUGAAGAAUAAGCACCGGCUAACUACGUGCCAGCCGCCGCGGUAA